rnacentral:rRNA from 1 species
AACGGUCAUACCAUGCUGAAUAUACCGGUUCUUGUUAGAUCACCGAAGUCAAGCAUCAUUGGGGGCCGUCAGUACUUGGGUGGGUGACCACCUGGGAACACCGCGUGCCGU